rnacentral:lncRNA from 1 species
AGUUGCUUUAGUCUGAUUCAGCAGGUAUGUCAAAAACCAAAGAAUCGUGGCCCCUUAAAGGCUAGCAGAUUUAUUUUGGUAGAUUACAAUACACUUGUGUCUGAGAAAGUAGAUUGUACUCCAAGGAAGCUUGCAAUGAAAUUCGUCGAUUAGUCUUUAAGGUGACAUUGUUUUGCUGUUAUUCUUGCUAAUGUUACAGUUGAGCAUUUUUUUUGCCCAUUUUUAGACAAAAAGCAAAAAGAAGAACUUGUUGCUGCCAGAUGCCAACUCAUAAUGCCACAUUGGAAUGUAAUGACCAAACUCAUCUUCCAUAGUUAUGUCAGCAUAACACUUUUGGAAUAACUAUUGGAGUUUGAGGAAAGAUCUUCCAUGACCGAAUUGUGACAGGAUCGCCUACAGUGAAUGAAGCAACUGCAAGACAUAAUGUGAAAAUCCGCGCUCAGACAAUAUGUUUGCCUUUUGUAUUGUUGUCUCCUGGUCAGCUCAGUGUAUGAUAAAAGAGAACACAAAGUUGCUACUCAAGCUUGUUGGUAUGGGUGAAAUUUGACAAUUGCCAAUACUUGUUUUUGGAAUCAGUGCAAACCCUAUACUCAAACUUU